GAUGAACGCUGGCGGCGUGCCUAAUACAUGCAAGUCGAGCGAACGGACGAGAAGCUUGCUUCUCUGAUGUUAGCGGCGGACGGGUGAGUAACACGUGGAUAACCUACCUAUAAGACUGGGAUAACUUCGGGAAACCGGAGCUAAUACCGGAUAAUAUUUUGAACCGCAUGGUUCAAAAGUGAAAGACGGUCUUGCUGGCACUUAUAGAUGGAUCCGCGCUGCAUUAGCUAGUUGGUAAGGUAACGGCUUACCAAGGCAACGAUGCAUAGCCGACCUGAGAGGGUGAUCGGCCACACUGGAACUGAGACACGGUCCAGACUCCUACGGGAGGCAGCAGUAGGGAAUCUUCCGCAAUGGGCGAAAGCCUGACGGAGCAACGCCGCGUGAGUGAUGAAGGUCUUCGGAUCGUAAAACUCUGUUAUUAGGGAAGAACAUAUGUGUAAGUAACUGUGCACAUCUUGACGGUACCUAAUCAGAAAGCCCCGGCUAACUACGUG
rnacentral:rRNA from 1 species